GGGGCUGUAUUGGUUUUGACAGCAUCCGUUUGUGGUAAGUGUAAGCAUGCCGUGCGUUGUACCGUUUGCACGCUAAUCCGAAAGUUCAAACUACAAAUGGCGAAUCUAACUUCGCUAUGGCUGCCUAAUCAGUGAUUAGUUAGUCAUUAGGGCCGCGUUGAGCCGGUUGUUCUGUUACCACGCUCCGCCGCCGACUCAAAAACAAAUACAGAAUGCUGCAACAGAAUGCUGUGACUGUUGCAAAAGAUUAUUCAGCUAAGCGAAUAAUUGGUUGGUUUGUUCCCGCUUAUUUGCCGACAAUUAAUAAUAAACUAAGCAUGUAGAAAGCUUAUGGCAAAGAUGUUUGGACAGGGGUUCGAGUCCCCUCAGCUCCACAA
rnacentral:tmRNA from 1 species